GGAAGUUCUUUCUUUUCAAAAACAUAGUCUGAGUGGCUGAGAGGGAGGAGAGAGUACAGGUGACAUUCAAGAUCAGGCUGCAUGUCUUUCAAUCUGAGACAUCCUGGCACAAGCAGAUAUGUCCAUGCUAUGAGGAGUUUGAACCUCUAUUGAGGAGCCUUGUCACUGUCUCCUUCAUGUCCUUGUUCCUCAGGCUGUAAAUGAAGGGGUUCAGCAUGGGGGUAACCACAGUAAACAUAAUGGUGGCUACUGUAUCCUGGGUGAAGGAGUCUGGAGGUCGUAUGUAGAUCCCCAGAACUGUCCCAUAGAACAAAAUGACCACGGUUAAGUGGGAGCUACACGUGGAAAAUGCCUUGUGCCUGCCCUUGGCAGAAGGUAUCUGAAAGACUGCCACAGCGAUUUGGACGUAAACUUCAUGAGCAGAUAAGCAUCACAGUAGAAGUGAGAGACCUCUGGAAUCGAGGAGCAGAAGACACGUGGCUAGCCAAGAGCCUGGGGAUGAUAUUGGUGGUGAAGCAGAUGUCAUCAAAGGAAAUGUUGGUGAGGAAGAAGUACAUGGGGGUGUGUAAGCGCGGGUCAGAGCUGAUGGCCAUGAAGAUGAGUGUGUUACCAGCCACCGUGACCAAGUACAUGCACAGGAAAGCCCAGAAGAGGAUUCGUUGCUG
ensembl:lncRNA